CACCGGAGAUCUAAGAGCAUGUGGUGGAUGCCUAGACUCUAAAUGGCGAUGAAGGACGUAGCAUAGCUGCGAUAAGCUUCGGGGAGGUGUUGAGCAACCUUCGAUCCGGAGAUUUCCGAAUGGGGAAACCCCUUACAGUAAUCCUGUAAGACCCUGCCCUUGAGGCAGAGGAGCGCACCUAGGGAAGUGAAACAUCUCAGUACCUAGAGGAACAGAAACAAAUCAGAAGCUUUUUAAUCUUGGCGAGAUAGUUAUCGCUAGGAUUAAGAAGCUUUGUGUAUUCCCUUAGUAGCGGCGAGCGAAAAGGGAGAAGCCCAAACCUAUGCAUUUAUGCAUGGGGGUUGUAAGGUAAUGGCGUAGUUAUUCUAGAAGAGUUACAAAUGUUUAAAUUAAUCGAAGCCGCUGGGAAGCGGCGCCACAGACGGUAAUAGCCCGGUAGAUGAAAAUUUAAGCACUCUUUUGCCAUUAUUCUUGAGUACCUCGGGACAUGACUAGCUUGAGGGAAUCCGGCAGUACUAACUGCCAAGGCUAAAUACAUUUAGAGAUCGAUAGUGAACUAGUACCGUGAGGGAAAGGUGAAAAGCAGCCCGAUAAGGGCGUUGAAAUAGAUCCUGAAACCACAUGCUUACAAGGAGUCGGAGCCCGCAAGGGUGACGGCGUGCCUAUUGAAGAAUGAGCCAACGAGUUUAUCUUUAUCCUUUGUUUAAUCUGUUAACACAGAGAAGGCAUAGCGAAAGCGAGUCUUAAUAGGGCGUAAUUGAGGUUAGAGAUAAGACCCGAAGCCGGGUGAGCUUGCCAUGAGCAGGGUGAAGUUGCGAGAAAUCGCAAUGGAGGCCCGAACCGUUUAGUCGUGCAACACUAUCGGAUGACUUGUGGUAAGGAGUGAAAAGCUAAUCGAACUCGGUAAUAGCUGGUUCUCUCCGAAAUAGCUUUAGGGUUAGCGUCUUGGUUACCUGCUGGGGGUAGAGCACUGGAAGAGUUGAAUAGGGGGAAACUUCGUCAACUCUAUCAAACUCCGAAUACCAGCAGUCAUUACAAGGCAGUUAGACGGUGGGGGCUAAGCUCCACUCGUCGAAAGGGAAACAGCCCAGAUCGCAAUCUAAGGUCCCUAAAUUAACGUUAAGUGCACUUAAGGAGGUGAGAUUUCUCUGACAAUGAGGAUGUUGGCUUAGAAGCAGCCAUCAUUUAAAGAAAGCGUAAUAGCUCACUCAUUCAGAGAUCUCGCGCCGCAGAUUCUCGGGGCUAAACGUUAUACCGAAGGUGCGGGCUUUAUCAGUCCUCGGACUGAUGGAGCGGUAGGAGAGUGUUCUGUUCGGCUGUGAAGGUUGGUCGCGAGGCCGGCUGGAGCGGACAGAAGUAAGAAUGUUGGCACAAGUAACCGCAAUCCCGGUGAGAUCCCGGGACGCCAAAAGACUAAGGUUUCCUUGGCAAUGGUAAUCAGCCAAGGGUUAGUCGGGCCUAAGGGGAUGACGACAGUCGGACCCGAUGGACAGAUGGUUAAUAUUCCAUCACUUCCGGUUGGUGCGAUGGGGCGACGGAGGGUUAUAGACAGAGCGCAUUAAUGGUUUUGCGUUCGGGCAGUGAGGAGGCUGGUCAGGUAAAUCCGGCUGGCAAUACUCCAAGCUGAGCGAAAAUGCCAAGGGCAACCGCGGCAAAUUUUGUUGAACACGCUUCCAAGAAAAACCUCUAAGCAUAACCAACUGGGAACCGUACCGUAAACCGACACAGGUAGUCAGGUCGAGUAGACCACGGCGAACGAGUGAUUGCUCCUCAAGGAACUCGGCAAAAAAGCGGCCGUAACUUCGGAAUAAGGCCUGCCCGCGUUUUUGACGCGGGCCGCAGCGAAAGUAUCCCUGGCGACUGUUUACCAAAAACACAGCUCCCUGCGAACUCGCAAGAGGAUGUAUAGGGGGUGACACCUGACCAAUGCCAGAAGGUCAAACAAGGUUGGUCUAAUAUCUUCGGAUGUUAGGCUGUACUUUGCAAGCCCUGGUGAAUGUCGGCGAUAACUAUAAUCGUCCUAAGGUAGCGAAAUUCCUUGUCGGGUAAAUUCCGACGCGCACGAAUGGUGUAACGAUCAGGGAACUGUCUCGAGGAGUAGCUCGGUGAAAAUGCAAUGGGGGUGAAGAUGCCCUCUACCUGCAGUUAGACGAAAAGACCCCAGAAGCUUUACUAUAGCUUGAUAUUGGGUGUGUGUUUAGGCUGCGUAGCAUAGGUGGGAGACUUUGAAGCGGAGGUUUUGGCUUCCGUGGAGUCAUCAGUGAAAUACCACUCUGUCAUGAUGCACAUUCUAACCAGAACGGCAAAAACGUUUUGAGACAGUAUCUGGUGGGUAGUUUUAGUGGGGCGCUAUCCUCCUAAAAAGUAACGGAGGAGUUUAUUAAGGUCAGCUAGGCGCGAAUGGAAACCGUGCCGAUAGUGUAAUGGCAUAAGCUGGCUUGACUGCAAGACGUACAUGUCGAGCAGGUACGAAAGUAGAACAUAGUGAACCGACAGUCCGCAUUAGACGCGGCUGGAGAUUAACGGAUAAAAGCUACUCUGGGGAUAACAGGCUGGUUCCGCCCAAGCGUCCAUAGCGACGGCGGAGUUCGGCACCUCGAUGUCGGCUCAUCUUAUCCUGGGGCUGGAGCAGGUCCCAAGGGUUCGGCUGUUCGCCGAUUAAAAAGAUACGCGAGCUGGGUUCAAACCGUAGACGAUACGAAUCUACGAAUUAAUACGAAUUAAUACGAAUAUUACGAAUAAUUUAUUUGUAUCAUUCGUCCUUUAUUUAAUUUGUAUUAUUCGCAUCGUGUACAGUUUGAACCCCUUCGAUUGAGUUAUUUAAAAAUUUUUCGUCUAUGCAAUUGAAAGAUAGAAUCAACCAUAUUACGGCGGCGCUCAACAGUAAUGCUGAGCUGCUUAGUUAACUAAUAUCGGUAAAAUCCAGUAUGCGAAUGCCUUAACAAAUAGGCACAUGCAAAUGGGACAAUACCGAGGGAAGAGUGAUUAAAUUAAUACUCACCCGUAGAGACUAAAUGUUAACUUUCUCGCAAGAGAAAAAGUUAUAGUCCAUUCCUUGUAGUAAUGCAAGACAAGAAGCGUAAGACAGGUUGGUCUCCUAUCUACUGCAGGCGUUGAUAAUUGAGAGGAGUUGUUUCUAGUACGAGAGGACCGAAAUGAACUGACCUCUGGUCUGUCGGCUGUGCCACCAGGUGCAAUGCCGAGUAGCUAUGUCGGGAACGGAUAACCGCUGAAAGCAUCUAAGCGGGAAGCCGACCUCAAGAUUAAUUAUCGUUAUGAGACCCGUAGGAGAUGACUACGUUGAUAGGCACUAGGUGGAAGUAUGGCAACAUAUUGAGCCGUGGUGUACUAAUUCGUCCACUCCGGUGGG
rfam:Candidatus Vogelbacteria bacterium GWA1_51_14 gwa1_scaffold_1213, whole genome shotgun sequence.